AAAUUUGCCAAUCAUAGAGAAAAUAAAGGCAAAAAAUAUUGGCAGAAUGAAGUGCAUUAUUCUUACUAUUUUUGUUAUAAUUGCUAUGGCUAUGGCAGCCGAUGAAUGCAUCCCUUGGUAUAACGAAAAUAAGUGUCAAGAAAAUAAUGAUUGUUGUCGUGGUCUAAGAUGUUAUACCAAUAAUAACACUUGUAUAUCAAUGCCACCAGGAGCCGUGCCAAUGCCUGAAAUGGACAAAAGACCUCUUGGUCCUGGACCAUACCCACCAUAUCUAGAAGUUUGAAUUAUCAUAACAAUUAUUUUGAUUAAUAAUGCCGCUUCUUUAUAUCUGAUUUGACCGCUAUUUCUUUUCCAGCAAAGACCUGUUAUAUAUAUAUUAUAAUAUCAAAUAAAUAAUAUUCAGAAAUUA